UGGUACUUUCCGUGGACGUACCGACUGUGUAACAUGAAGUCGAUCCAAAGGGUGUAGUUAAUGAAAAUAGUUUAACUUUGAACGACUAUCAAAUCAUCAUAACUGCCCAAUUUUCAGAAAAAGAAAACCAUUUCGAAAGGGACCAAGAAGCAGGUUAUACUCAGGACAUAAACAGCAAUUGUUGAGUGAACCUAAAGGAGAGGCCAGUUUGUGAGAGACAGCGGGAUUAAAGCAGUUUUACAGCUGAAUUUGGGGUUCCUGGAGAAAAGCCAAAGGUUAACCAGCUUUAUUUUGGUGGUGAAAACUACAGGUACAUGGUUGCUUUCACAGUCAGCACUCAGGUCUUCACAGAAGUGAUCAGUAUCCUCUUCACUGUCAGAUGUUGGUGCAUAGACUUGAAUAAUGGCAAAAUUGAAAGGAUUCCUACACUUCUCUCGUGCUUUUGACCUCCUGAGUAGAUGAAUGUGAUGCCAUCUGAUGUGGAAUUUCCAGUGCACUUCACUCAAACCAAGAAUAUUGACUUUCAAAUGCUUCAGUUCAUGCUUGACAUUCAUCAAUUUUCCAGAUUGUGACAGGGUUCUCACAUUCCAUGUUCCAAUGCUGAUGCUUUUCUUUUGGACAUUCCCUCCUGGGUUGGAGGAGAUCUCCUUAACACUGUUGUUGUUUUUCUUUGAUUUGCGUUGGUCUAUGAAUAUGUUUGGCAAGGUACUGCAGUGGUUUUCCAUUGCCUUCUGCAGGUUACAGUGCUCAACUAACAAUAGCUUGAAUCUGCUGCCGUUACACCAGUUGAGCUGGGUUUCAACAGCCUAGAAGAUUCACCAGCCUAUUUCCACAAUGGCUUCACUGUAACCCUCGCACGGGACCCUUCCAAGGACUAUCAACCAAGUCAGCUGACCUUGGGUUCACAAAAGGACAGGGUCGACCACACCUUGGGGGUUCUCCAGAUAACCCUGCUACUGGACAGCAGUGAAAUAUUAUUAUCACAGUAUUGUAAUAUCAGCUCUUUAGAAAAGAUGUUUUCAGAAACAAGUUCUCUCUUUUGCCUUAGACUUGUUAUUUUAUUGUUGAUUUUAUUCAUGUUUACCUUAAGUAUAUAUUUUUAAAUGUUCAGUUUAAGAUAAAGUGGAACAAAAUAUCACAAUAGCUGUGCAUUACAGCAGACCUGAGUCACUUUUAACUAAGUUAUAAUAUAAAGGAAAGAAAAUGUCACAUUUUACAAAAUAGAAAUGUAUUGUUGCUACAGCAUUUAAAUAGUAAGCAUUCUUUUACCACAUUUAACUUGAUCUAAUAUGAGGCUACCUAUGAUAUAACAGAUUUACCAUAAAUGUUAGCCAGUACCAAAACAGCUACAAAAUGAAAUCAGAGAAAGAUGAGGCCAUACUGCACUGAGAAAGGGAAAAUACUUUUUAAAAAGUGAUUCAGCGAUUAUUUCAAUGGAUGAAGUUAUUGCAGACUGACAGAUUUAGAAGCUCUGCGGGAAUCUCAUCAUGCUCCAUUCUGAUUGGUUGUAUUGUAGGUUAAUUCUAUCUAGUUGACAGGGCUGUCAUCUAGAAAAAUGCAUAAUUUCAUAGGGCUGUAUUAUUAAAUGAACUGAAUAAGUUGCAUACAAAUAAACAAGGAUGCAUUGCCUAUAUGGCAACAUGUUAAUAUUUUAGUGUCAUUAGAAGCUACUGUUUCUGACAUACUAUCUCUAACCAAGAAAACUAGGUAUAAUGGCGAAAAAAGUGAAAAAUAAUAUAGCCAUGAAAGUUUGAGUUCUUAACGUCUGCUACAUUUGCCUGUAUAAUUACAGUGACCAUGAAGUGCUGAAGUUCAGCUACAAGGCUUUCUGCACUAUAACACAAGAACACAAGAAAUGGGAGCAAGAGUAGACCUGUCGAGCCUGGUCCGCCAUUCAAUACGAUCAUGGCUGAUCUUAGGCUUCAACUCCAUUUUCCUACUUGCUCCCCAUUUCCCUUAAUUCCCUGCGAGACCAAAAAUCUGACUAUCCCAGCCUUACAUGUAUUCAACGAUGACUGAUUUUUCUUGUAAGUUCUUCAAUCUUAAGCACCUGCCCAACUUCUUUUUAGAAUGAUUUAUAUAAUCAGCCUCUAUCACAUUUUCAAUUAGAGCGGUACAGAACUCAACAACCAAAUGAAAACAUUUCUCACCAUCUCACAUCUAAAUCUUUUGCUAAAGAUUUUAAAGCUAUGAUCUCUGAUUAUUGACCCACUAACAAAAGGGAAUAGUUUUUCUCUAUCUACACUAUCAAAACUUCUAACCGUGAAAACCUCUAUUAGGCCAUCUCUUAACCUUCUCUGUUCCAAGGGGAAAGGGCAGUGAAGUAGCAAUAGCUGACUUGCUCUUGCAGAGAGCUGGCACAAAAAUGACACUGAAUGGCCUCCUUCUGUGCUGUGACCAUUCUAUGAUUCUAAGUAGAAGAGCCCUAAUUUUUCAAACCUUUCCUCAUAACUUCUACAUUCCUCAUUCCCGGUAACAUCCUGAUAAACUUCUUUUGUACUUUUUCCAGAGCCUUUACGUCUUCCCUGAUGUGUGGUGCCCAGGAUUGUCUGCAAUACUCCAAUCAUGAGAUUACCAUUUAUUUUUUCAGUCUGGUGCCUAAAUCCUUAAAUUCCGUCUGCAAAUACACUCAAAAUAUCCUUAUAUCUUUGCCCUGGUUCCAAUAUGCAUAUAAGUUUUAGCUCUUUUUCUUCUUGUAACAGAUGUUUUUCUACCCUCAAAGCUGGUAUAUCAGGGAGGCAAUGCAACAUUCAAACUUCCUAUUACAGCUACAAGAAAAGGCUGUGUAUUCCGCCAACAAUAGAAUCUCCUACUACUUUCACUCUCCUAUUCUGGCACUUCACCUCCAUCUCUCCCUUACUCCAUAGCGCUACAAUGUUGCUCAGGAAAAUUCGCUGCCCAUUUACUUUAGCAUGCUGAUGCACUCAAAGUUCCAGAGAACCAAAGCAAAGAACAGACCCUAUAUGGUGAAAUUAACCUAUCUGUGUGCAGGUCCCUGUGUACAGGGCUCAGUUUCCUGCUGACUGAAUCUUUUGAAUCCCGUAAACCAUCAUCUCCAUUUUAUAUAUAUGUAGUGUUGCAUAUGUUCAUGUAUACUUGCAGUGCUGUAUACAUAUUAGUAUAUGUCUGUAUAUUUUGCAUUUGUGAUUUGUAUUAUGGCAUCUGUGAACCUAAUUCAAAACAACCGAAUGCUCACUUUUAAAACACUGAACACCAUUGCAGUACUCCAGAUUUUUACUGCAUAAACAGAAUGAAGGCUUGUUUUUUCAUUCCCUACUUGAGGGAGAUUAUUUGUGUUGCAUAGAUACAAGAAGCCAAAACUAUCGAAUUUGAUUUAGCUGUAACCUCAGCACCAUUAUCCAAAAUAAUUUAAUAUUUUCAGAAUUAUUCUAAUGAAGGCUAAUAAGAUUAUUAUACCUUUUUCAUACUAUAUUGUGUUUCAUAUUAGACCGAUUGGUAGCAAGAUGUUUUGCACUGCAUCCUUUUUGUAAAUAAAUGUUAGUUAUUGCUGCUCUUUCUUGCUAUAAUUUCACCAAUCUGAAGUUAAGAUGCAGUGUAGCAUAAUAUUGCAGGCAAUGGAGUAAUUGUUAAUCUUUAAGUCACAUAAUUCUGCAAAAUUCAGUUUCAUUCUAAGACAAGUGCUUGAUGACAGCAGGACAAGUGAAUUAAUUGAGAGAGGAAACAGUAUAGUGAGGAAAUUAAAUUAUAACACAAAUGCAUUUAA